rnacentral:misc_RNA from 1 species
GAUGAAGAACGUAGCGAAAUGCGAUAAGUAAUGUGAAUUGCAGAAUUCAGUGAAUCAUCGAAUCUUUGAACGCACAUUGCGCCCGCCAGUAUUCUGGCGGGCAUGCCUGUUCGAGCGUCAUUUCAACCAUCAAGCCCUGCUUGCGUUGGGGUCCUGCGGCUGCCCGCAGGCCCUGAAAACCAGUGGCGGGCUCGCUAGUCACACCGAGCGCAGUAAUACAUCUCGCUUUGGGCGUGCGGCGGGUUCUUGCCGUUAAACACCCCCUUUUUACCAAGGUUGACCUCGGAUCAGGUAGGAAUACCCGCUGAACUUAAGCAUAUCAGUAAGCGGAGGA